UACGUAGGGUGCGAGCGUUAAUCGGAUUUACUGGGCGUAAAGCGUGCGCAGGCGGCCCGUUAAGACAGGUGUGAAAUCCCUGGGCUCAACCUAGGAAUUGCGCUUGUGACUGGCGGGCUCGAGUACGGGAGAGGGGGGUGGAAUUCCUGGUGUAGCAGUGAAAUGCGUAGAGAUCAGGAGGAACACCGAUGGCGAAGGCAGCCCCCUGGGCCUGUACUGACGCUCAUGCACGAAAGCGUGGGGAGCGAACAGG
rnacentral:rRNA from 1 species